AGCAGUAUUGAACUGAAGAGUUUGAUCAUGGCUCAGAUUGAACGCUGGCGGCAGGCCUAACACAUGCAAGUCGAGCGGAUGAAGGGAGCUUGCUCCUGGAUUCAGCGGCGGACGGGUGAGUAAUGCCUAGGAAUCUGCCUGGUAGUGGGGGAUAACGUCCGGAAACGGGCGCUAAUACCGCAUACGUCCU
rnacentral:rRNA from 1 species